UCCCUGGUGGCUCAGAUGGUAAAGCGUCUGCCUGCAAUGCAGAAGACCCGGGUUCGAUUCCUGGGUCGGGAA
rnacentral:tRNA from 1 species